AAGUGAGGCCUGUGGCCGUAGAGACUGCUAACCCCCUACCCCCGGAGCUAAAUACCCGGCUCACUUG
rnacentral:tRNA from 1 species